rnacentral:rRNA from 1 species
UGCAUAUCAAAUAGCGGAGGAAAAGAAACCAACAGGGAUUGCCUCAGUAACGGCGAGUGAAGCGGCAAAAGCUCAGAUUUGAAAUCUGGCGUCUUCGGCGUCCGAGUUGUAAUCUGUAGAGGAUGCCUUUGGGUGGCCACCGGUCUAAGUCCCCUGGAACGGGGUGUCACAGAGGGUGAGAAUCCCGUAUGUGACCGGGAAGGCGCCCUAUACAUGGCUCCUUCGACGAGUCGAGUUGUUUGGGAAUGCAGCUCUAAAUGGGAGGUAAAUUCCUUCUAAAGCUAAAUACCGGCCAGAGACCGAUAGCGCACAAGUAGAGUGAUCGAAAGAUGAAAAGCACUUUGGAAAGAGAGUUAAAAAGCACGUGAAAUUGUUGAAAGGGAAGCGCUUGCAACCAGACUUGUUGGCGGUGUUCCGCCGGUCUUCUGACCGGUCUACUCACCGUCUGCAGGCCAGCAUCAUCUGGGGCCGCUGGAUAAAAGCGGAGGGAAUGUGGCUCCUCCGGGAGUGUUAUAGCCCUCUGUGUAAUACAGCGAGUCCCGGGUGAGGUCCGCGCUUCGGCUAGGAUGCUGGCGUAAUGGUCGUAAGCGGCCCGUCU